rnacentral:rRNA from 1 species
UGGGGAAUUUUCCGCAAUGGGCGAAAGCCUGACGGAGCAAUACCGCGUGAGGGAGGAAGGCUCUUGGGUUGUAAACCUCUUUUCUCAGGGAAGAAAAAAAUGACGGUACCUGAGGAAUCAGCAUCGGCUAACUCCGUGCCAGCAGCCGCGGUAAUACGGAGGAUGCAAGCGUUAUCCGGAAUGAUUGGGCGUAAAGCGUCCGCAGGUGGUUAAGUAAGUCUGCUGUCAAAGCGUCUAGCUCAACUAGAUACAGGCAGUGGAAACUACUAGACUAGAGUGCGUUCGGGGCAGAGGGAAUUCCUGGUGUAGCGGUGAAAUGCGUAGAUAUCAGGAAGAACACCGGUGGCGAAAGCGCUCUGCUAGGCCGCAACUGACACUGAGGGACGAAAGCUAGGGGAGCGAAAGGGAUUAGAUACCCCWGUAGUCA